rnacentral:rRNA from 1 species
UAGGGAAUCUUCCGCAAUGGACGAAAGUCUGACGGAGCAACGCCGCGUGAGCGAUGAAGGCCUUCGGGUCGUAAAGCUCUGUUGUCAGGGAAGAACAAGUGCGGGAGUAACUGCCCGCACCUUGACGGUACCUGACCAGAAAGCCACGGCUAACUACGUGCCAGCAGCCGCGGUAAUACGUAGGUGGCAAGCGUUGUCCGGAAUUAUUGGGCGUAAAGCGCGCGCAGGCGGUCCCUUAAGUCUGAUGUGAAAGCCCCCGGCUUAACCGGGGAGGGUCAUUGGAAACUGGGGGACUUGAGUGCAGAAGAGAAGAGCGGAAUUCCAUGUGUAGCGGUGAAAUGCGCAGAGAUAUGGAGGAACACCAGUGGCGAAGGCGGCUCUUUGGUCUGUAACUGACGCU